CAUCCUCUCUGGAGUCCAGAAAACCUGACAGGAUUGCUUACAGUACACGGGCUCGGAGUCCCAGCGGACCUUGAGGUGCGCGCCGCACACGGCGCCGGCCUCCUCUCCCACGGCGCGCGCGAUGGCGAAGAUUUUUUCCACGGUCUCGAUGUAGCCGCCGGGGGAUUUGUCGUUGUUGAGGAUCUUAUACGCGGCCUCGCACUCUGGGGUGGAGAGGGAUUCUGUCGCCGCGAGAACGUGUCCGAGAUCUGAGGCGACCUUGGUUCCGAGGUUGUGGCGCGAGAGCUUCAGCGCGAGGCCGUCGUGCGGGUUUGGGCGCGCGGCGGAGGCGAGCACGAUCGCGGAGAACAAGCAAGCGACGACAAGGAACGAGCGAGCCAUGGUGUCGUCCGCGGGGGCGUGCGUCGUCUAAGUGUUAACGUCAACUCGGAAUAAUUCUGACUCACCAUUUGCCAAGGGCCCGAUCUGCCCGAUGGCCGGACUGGGUAUGGGCAGUUGAAGUCUAUUUCGACUUAAAUGAGGCAUUAUCGAAGUUUUAUGUAACUAAAAG
rnacentral:lncRNA from 1 species